AACUUCGGGUGAUCGCGGUCUACUUUUGUAGGCUGAGGAAAGUCCAUGCCCGCACAAGCUGCGAUGCUUGUAGUGUUCGUGCUUAGCCCAAUAAGCUAAGGUACUGGGUAACCAGUAACGGCGGAGAACGUUGCUAAGGAGCAAUCUAUGCAAUUAAUAUCCUGAAAAGUGCCACAGUGACGAUACAGUUUGGAAACGAACUGUUUGGAACGGGUAAACCCCGCGAGCGAGUAACCCAAACUUAUGGUAGGGGCGCUCCAUGUAUGGAAAUGAACGACGCAUGGAGACAGAUCUAGUGUCUGUAGAUAGAUGAUUGCCCUCACUGGUUGUGUUCCUGAGCCAAUCAGUGAGACAAAACAUGGCUUACAGAG
rfam:Lactobacillus coryniformis subsp. coryniformis CECT 5711 COR000017, whole genome shotgun sequence.